UACCAGCCGGGGAGUUAGCGGUGCCUUGUACCUGAAAUCCGCUAUAGCAGGGGUGGAUCCCGUGGAUUGAGGAUCAAUCUUUCGUGAAGGAGUCUUACUUUACUGUGUUGAUAAGUGGGUCUUGCGCAAUUGGGAACUGUGAACCGUGUCAGGUGGGGAACCAAGCAGCACUAAGCGGUGAACCUGAUGUGACGCGAGUCAGCCUGCUUUGAGCAGAAAGUAUGUAUGUCGCUCGG
rnacentral:SRP_RNA from 1 species